AGCCGCUCUAGGAUGAGAGUGGGGACCAGAGCCUUCUCCGUGCCAGACUUCCGGCCCAGACCACUGCUUCCAGCCAAGGGACCCAGUACGCAGACGCGGCGCUGAGGAAUUGUUUGCACAAGAUAAGAAAUAGAGAUUCCUGGUCAGCACACUACUGCGCUGCGGGACCUGUGUCGGUGUAACUAUCAGAGUGUGUUUAAGUGGGCGUUACAGUGCCCGCGGCCAAAGCCAGAGCACCCCCGCCACGCCCACGGAACUCGGUUUCCCAGACGGCUGCGAGGCCCGGAAGAUAUUUCCCAGAAGCUCCCGUGCCGCACUGGUGCAUGACGAAGACUCCAUUUCCCAGAAUUCCCCGGGACGGCCCCGCCCCCUCCACCUGGACCGAGAGUAGCUGGAGAAUUGUGCACCGGAAGUAGCUCUUGGACUGGUGGAACCCUGCGCAGGUGAGGCUACCGGGUGGAAGAAGCUCAGCAAACUAGGGACCCCACAGGUGCAGCAACAAUGGGUGAGCCCCAGGGAUCCAGGAGGAUCCUAGUGACAGGGGGCUCUGGACUGGUGGGCAGAGCUAUCCAGAAGGUGGUCGCAGAUGGCGCUGGCUUACCCGGAGAGGAAUGGGUGUUUGUCUCCUCCAAAGAUGCAGAUCUGACGGAUGCAGCACAAACCCAAGCCCUGUUCCAGAAGGUACAGCCCACCCAUGUCAUCCAUCUUGCUGCAAUGGUAGGAGGCCUUUUCCGGAAUAUCAAAUACAACUUGGAUUUCUGGAGGAAGAAUGUGCACAUCAAUGACAACGUCCUGCACUCAGCUUUCGAGGUGGGCACUCGCAAGGUGGUCUCCUGCCUGUCCACCUGUAUCUUCCCUGACAAGACCACCUAUCCUAUUGAUGAAACAAUGAUCCACAAUGGUCCACCCCACAGCAGCAAUUUUGGGUACUCGUAUGCCAAGAGGAUGAUUGACGUGCAGAACAGGGCCUACUUCCAGCAGCAUGGCUGCACCUUCACUGCUGUCAUCCCUACCAAUGUCUUUGGACCUCAUGACAACUUCAACAUUGAAGAUGGCCAUGUGCUGCCUGGCCUCAUCCAUAAGGUGCAUCUGGCCAAGAGUAAUGGUUCAGCCUUGACUGUUUGGGGUACAGGGAAACCACGGAGGCAGUUCAUCUACUCACUGGACCUAGCCCGGCUCUUCAUCUGGGUCCUGCGGGAGUACAAUGAAGUUGAGCCCAUCAUCCUCUCAGUGGGCGAGGAAGAUGAAGUCUCCAUUAAGGAGGCAGCUGAGGCUGUAGUGGAGGCCAUGGACUUCUGUGGGGAAGUCACUUUUGAUUCAACAAAGUCAGAUGGGCAGUAUAAGAAGACAGCCAGCAAUGGCAAGCUUCGGGCCUACUUGCCUGAUUUCCGUUUCACACCCUUCAAGCAGGCUGUGAAGGAGACCUGUGCCUGGUUCACCGACAACUAUGAGCAGGCCCGGAAGUGAAGCAUGGGACAAGCGGGUGCUCAGCUGGCAAUGCCCAGUCAGUAGUCACCACCCUCAAACCUUGUCAAGAACUGAGGACAGUAUCCAGCAACCUGAGCCACAUGCUGGUCUCUCUGCCAGGGGGCUUCAUGCAGCCAUCCAGUAGGGCCCAUGUUUGUCCAUCCUCGGGGGAAGGCCAGACGAACACCUUGUUUGUCUGCUUCUGCCCCAACCUCAGUGCAUCCAUGCUGGUCCUGCUGUCCCUUGUCUAGAAACCAAUAAAAUGGAUUUUCAUAAGCCUGGA